rnacentral:misc_RNA from 1 species
AAGUCGUAACAAGGUUUCCGUAGGUGAACCUGCGGAAGGAUCAUUAACACGUAUCCACGUAUCUACCUCUCGUGAACUUAUUCUUGUUUGUAGUUAUGCUCAAAUAUGACUAAGGAAGCAGAUGGCCAUGUCGUAAGUGAAACUCCUCCUUUAUUGGUUGAGCUUUACUGUCGUUCUGCUUGCCUGUCCACCUUUGUUGAGUGCUAGUGUAUCGAGGUCGUUCCAUAGAAAUAUGAGUUCAGCCCUGCUAGUCUUUUUACUCCUUAGGAUGGGUAUUUGAGAAAACUCGAAUCAUGGUGGUUAUCAACCUAUUAACCCCUUUUUUUUAAAUUGUCUUAGUGAGCGUUCAUCUCUAUUUAUUUAGGGUUGACCUCCCCAAAAAAUAAACACUAUACAACUCUUAGCAACGGAUAUCUCGGUUCU